ACGCUGGCGGCGCGCCUAACACAUGCAAGUCGAACGGUUAAAGCACCUUUUAGGUGUGUAUAAAGUGGCGAACGGCUGAGUAACACGUGGGCAACCUGCCCUCCUCUUGGGGAUAGCCUCGGGAAACCGAGGAUAAUACCCGAUACUUCAAUGUGGCCGCAUGACGACAUUGAGAAAGCUUUUGCGGAGAAGGAUGGGCCCGCGGCCUGUUAGCUUGUUGGUGGGGUAGAGGCCUACCAAGGCAAUGAUGGGUAGCUGGGUUGAGAGACCGACCAGCCAGAUUGGGACUGAGACACGGCCCAGACUCCUACGGGAGGCAGCAGUGGGGAAUCUUGCACAAUGGGCGAAAGCCUGAUGCAGCGACGCCGCGUGCGGGACGAAGGCCUUCGGGUUGUAAACCGCUUUCAGCAGGGACGAGGCGUAAGUGACGGUACCUGCAGAAGAAGCCCCGGCUAACUACGUGCCAGCAGCCGCGGUAAUACGUAGGGGGCAAGCGUUAUCCGGAUUCAUUGAGCGUAAAGCGCUCGUAGGCGGUCUGUUAGGUCGGGAGUUAAAUCCGGAGGCUCAACCUCCGCCCGCUCCCGAUACCGGCAGACUUGAGUUUGGUAGGGGAAGGUGGAAUUCCUAGUGUAGCGGUGGAAUGCGCAGAUAUUAGGAAGAACACCAGUGGCGAAGGCGGCCUUCUGGGCCAUAACUGACGCUGAGGAGCGAAAGCUAGGGGAGCAAACAGGAUUAGAUACCCUGGUAGUCCUAGCUGUAAACGAUGGACACUAGGUGUGGGAGAAUACGUCUUCCGUGCCGCAGCUAACGCAUUAAGUGUCCCGCCUGGGGAGUACGGCCGCAAGGCUAAAACUCAAAGGAAUUGACGGGGACCCGCACAAGCAGCGGAGCAUGUGGUUUAAUUCGAAGC
rnacentral:rRNA from 1 species